rnacentral:lncRNA from 1 species
AGUAAUUUGCUUGGGUCCUCUUCUAAUGUGUGGCAGGUUUGUUUUUUCGCUCUUUGCAAUUAAAUCUUGCCAUUGCUCACUCUUUGGGUCCACACUGCUUUUAUGAGCUGUAACACUCACCGCGAAGGUCUGCAGCCUCGCUGCUGAAGCCAGCGAGACCACGAACCCACCGGGAGGAACGAACAACUACAGCUGCGCCGCCUUAAGAGCUGUAACACCGCGAAGGUCUGCAGCUUCACUUCUGAGCCAGCGAGACCACGAACCCACUAGAAGGAAGAAACUCCGGACAUGCCCCCUUUAAGAACUGUUAACACUCAGCGCGAGGGUCCGAGGCUUCUUUCUUGAAGUCAGUGAGACCAAGAACCCACCAAUUCUGGACACAGUGACAAGGAAAAGACAGCGGUAAUUGCCACAUUGAGUGAACCAAGUUUCUAAAUGGCUGGCAUUUGCAUAUUAAAGGUUGCCUGCCCGGCCCUUCAAGCCACCUUUUCUGUUAGAAAAGAGAUGGUUCGGGGCUGUUUUUUUAUUACAGGAAAAUUUCCUCCGAGAACCUUUACCCUGAGUAGCUGCCUGGAAAUUAUUUCUUAAGAACACCUGUAUCACCAGCCUGCAUCUCCCUCAAAGCAGAACCUGAGAUAAAAAGGCUUCUGUAUGAACAGCCUCUCUGAGUAUUUGAGUAAAGAACAAAGGCCGUUUUGGGGGAAGUCGGACCUGAAUGGGUCUUGGUGCACAAGAAGCUGAGAAAGCAGGAGAGAAGAAUCCAGAGGAAAAAGAGGGAUUCACACAGGAGCUGGUUCUCACUAUGUUUGAAUGAGAGUGCAGGCCAAACCACAGUCAACUCUGAAUCCUUGUAAAAAACCUCCCUAGCUCGGCUGUUGAGGAGUGCUACAGGUCUGGCAACCCUGUGAGAGAUGAAAUUCACAUUAAAACUAUUUAGCAAACCAAACGAUGGCUAUGUAACCUUGUCUUGGUCUCCACUUAGAGGCAGAAUCUCAGUGCUUUCUGAAAGUUCUUAGGAGGCCUGUAGCUACAUCUGCAGUGGUGCCAAAUCUCCAUAUGAAACCAGAACAAUUCAAUCGCUUAUUCACAGUCUAGAUGUUUGCA